UACGUAGGGUGCAAGCGUUGUCCGGAAUUAUUGGGCGUAAAGAGCUUGUAGGCGGUCUGUCGCGUCUGCUGUGAAAAUCCGGGGCUCAACCCCGGACUUGCAGUGGGUACGGGCAGACUAGAGUGUGGUAGGGGAGACUGGAAUUCCUGGUGUAGCGGUGAAAUGCGCAGAUAUCAGGAGGAACACCGAUGGCGAAGGCAGGUCUCUGGGCCAUAACUGACGCUGAGAAGCGAA
rnacentral:rRNA from 1 species